UACGUAGGUGGCAAGCGUUGUCCGGAAUUAUUGGGCGUAAAGCGCGCGCAGGCGGUCCUUUAAGUCUGAUGUGAAAGCCCACGGCUCAACCGUGGAGGGUCAUUGGAAACUGGGGGACUUGAGUGCAGGAGAGAAGAGUGGAAUUCCACGUGUAGCGGUGAAAUGCGUAGAGAUGUGGAGGAACACCAGUGGCGAAGGCGACUCUUUGGCCUGUAACUGACGCUGAGGCGCGAAGCGUGGGGAGCAACAGG
rnacentral:rRNA from 1 species